CAACAGAGCAGGAGAUGACUGCCAUUGAAAAGACAGUUUGUUACUCACAGGUCCAGAGGAGGGGGUGUGCCAUCCAUGGGGCCACCAGAAAGCACUGGGGUCCAUCAGGAGGCAGAAGGAGAAGGGGGCACUGUGGACAAGAGCUUUUCUUGUAGCUGGGCGUGGUGGUACAUACCUGUAAUUCAGUGGCUCAGGAGGCUAAGGCAGGAGGAU
rnacentral:lncRNA from 1 species